CCUACGGGAGGCUGCAGUGGGGAAUAUUGCACAAUGGGGGAAACCCUGAUGCAGCGACGCCGCGUGAGUGAUGAAGUACUUCGUCAUGUAAAGCUCUAUCAGCAGGGAAGAAAAUGACGGUACCUGAGUAAGAAGCCCCGGCUAACUACGUGCCAGCAGCCGCGGUAAUACGUAGGGGGCAAGCGUUAUCCGGAUUUACUGGGUGUAAAGGGAGCGUAGACGGCAUUGCAAGUCUGAAGUGAAAGGCGGGGGCCCAACCCCCGGACUGCACUGGAAACUGUACGGCUGGAGUGCAGGAGAGGUAGGUGGAAUUCCUAGUGUAGCGGUGAAAUGCGUAGAUAUUAGGAGGAACACCAGUGGCGAAGGCGGCUUACUGGACUGUAACUGACGUUGAGGCUCGAAAGCGUGGGGAGCAAACAGGAUUAGAUACCCCGGUAGUC
rnacentral:rRNA from 1 species